CUUUUGACUGCUCUCCUGGAAGCUUAGAUUUGUAUCAGCCAUCUAUCCUGUGUUUGCAGGAGUCUUACCGAUACAAUUCAUUUAGCAGGAAGCAAUAGACCACAGAAAAUGGCGACCUCCUUUGAUUUUACUGCAGAUCUGGCCACAGGAAAUGUUGCACAUUUGGAUCAAGCAGGAUAAACAAAACAUCAUUUCUCCUCUUGGAAGACACAAGAGAGCUGUAAAAGUGGGAUUUGCAUGGAAAAUUCAGCUGCGGAGGAACAUGUGAAAUUGUGCAUAUCUGCUAUCCCUACGAGGAUUGGAGACGGCCAAAUAUGAGAAACAAAGUGAAGAUAAACUAGAGGAAAUUCACAUAAUGUGUCAUCCCAAGAACUGCGGCUUCACAUGGGGCAGCACGUUUAAAAGGCUCUGCAGGCUACUCUGAUUCCAGGGAUGUCCUUGAGUUAAGCAGUUAAAAUCAAUGCUGCAAACCUUGCCAGAGAUGCUGAGUGCCCCUCCCUCCCCCCGUCCCCCAAGCACAACACAGAAUGAAGCCCCAGGGUCUUUCUCCUCCUACAUUCCUUCAGUUUUUUCUUUUGGACCUCUUCUGAGUGUCAAGUGUGCAUGUCAAGGAAGCACUAAGUUAAGACAUGCAUUGUACAAUACCUAUCUACCAGGAAAAACCCUUUCAGACUUCCAGCUCUUGCAGGUAUGCAAAUAAUUUCAGAUUGGAGGUGAAAUGAUGCCUGCCGCCUUCCAGUGCAACAUGUCAGUAUUUUACUUCCCUUAUGUCAGUUCUCUUAGACCAGGGUCAGCCAAAGUACAGCUUGCAGCUGCUCUCCCCUUUGAUUAUUGAUGAGGAAGGUUAUUUAUUUUUUCAUGCAGCUCUGGAGGUGUGCAAGACAUUUCACACAAAUAGAAGAUGACAGGACCUGAAGAGUUUACACAAAUCAGACGCAGCACAGUGAGUGAAGGCAGACAGUGGACUGGAGGCUUAAUAUUAUAAUUUGCAGAUGCAUCCUGUUAGCUGGGCAAAAUGUGGGUGUGAGAAACCCAUAGUUGCUACUACUGGGCCUUUUCCCUAUGUACAAGAGUCAUUCUGGUAUCAGCUGCAUCCUCUACCAGGGGGACUUCAACCUGCUCUUGUGGGUGCACUUGGCAAGCCAAUCUCAGACUAGCACACUGGACUCUUUCAAAUAAGCUGGAUAAAUUAUGUCACAUCAGGAGAACUUGUAGAAAAUGUUAAGAGCCUUAUUAAACGUA